rnacentral:rRNA from 1 species
UACAGAGGUCUCAAGCGUUGUUCGGAUUCAUUGGGCGUAAAGGGUGUGUAGGUGGCGCGCUAAGUCGGGUGUGAAAUUUCGGAGCUUAACUCCGAAACUGCAUUCGAUACUGGCGCGCUUGAAGACUGGAGAGGAGACUGGAAUUCAUGGUGAGCAGUGAAAUGCGUAGAGAUCAUGAGGAAGACCAGUGGCGAAGGCGGGUCUCUGGACAGUUCCUGACACUGAGACACGAAGGCCAGGGGAGCAAACGGG